rnacentral:rRNA from 1 species
GAUGAACGCUGGCGGCGUGCCUAAUACAUGCAAGUCGAGCGAACAGACGAGGAGCUUGCUCCUCUGACGUUAGCGGCGGACGGGUGAGUAACACGUGGAUAACCUACCUAUAAGACUGGGAUAAAUUCGGGAAACCGGAGCUAAUACCGGAUAAUAUAUUGAACCGUAUGGUUCAAUAGUGAAAGACGGUUUUGCUGUCACUUAUAGAUGGAUCCGCGCCGCAUUAGCUAGUUGGUAAGGUAACGGCUUACCAAGGCAACGAUGCGUAGCCGACCUGAGAGGGUGAUCGGCCACACUGGAACUGAGACACGGUCCAGACUCCUACGGGAGGCAGCAGUAGGGAAUCUUCCGCAAUGGGCGAAAGCCUGACGGAGCAACGCCGCGUGAGUGAUGAAGGUCUUCGGAUCGUAAAACUCUGUUAUUAGGGAAGAACAAAUGUGUAAGUAACUAUGCACGUCUUGACGGUACCUAAUCAGAAAGCCACGGCUAACUACGUG